AUUGAACGCUGGCGGCAGGCCUAACACAUGCAAGUCGAGCGAGCGGCGGACGGGUGAGUAAUGUCUGGGAAACUGCCUGCUGGAGGGGGAUAACUACUGGAAACGGUAGCUAAUCCCGCAUACCAUCAGAUGUGCCCAGAUGGGAUGAGCUAGUAGGUGGGGUAACGGCUCACCUAGGCGACGAUCCCUAGCUGGUCUGAGCGGAUGACCAGCCACACUGUAACUGUGACACGGUCCAGACGCCUACGGGAGGCAGCAGUGGGGAAUAUGGCACGAUGGGCGCAAGCCUGAUGCAGCCAUGCCGGGUGUGUGAAGAAGGCCUUCGGGUUGUAAAGCACUAGCAGCGGGGAGGCGUUACCCGCAGAAGAAGCACCGGCUAACUCCGUGCCAGCCGCCGCGGUAAUUC
rnacentral:rRNA from 1 species